GGAGCAUCAGUGAUGAAUUCCAUGAAAAAAUUGUUAUCCUUGCACUUUGAUUGCUAGUGAAGAUAAAAUUGGGGUUUUCGAUUUCUGAGAUUGCUC
rnacentral:snoRNA from 14 species